GGGGGUGAUCUGGUUUCGACAGGGUCGCUGAAGCGUGAGUUGCGUGCCGAGGGUCUGGCUGGCCUCGUAAAAAAGCCGGAAAACAAUAAGUGCUAACGAAGAAUACGCACUCGCUGCUUAAUUGAUAGCAACGCUGGAACUUGUCCCUUUCCCAUGGGGAUAAGAACUCCAGUCGCAAUAUGGGAUAGGGCGGCGUCAUGCUCUGGGGCGUCAUCCGAAAUUUUCAGAGCUGGUUCCGAUUUGCGCCGGCCUUCUUGGGCGUGAAGAGGGACGAGAACUUAAAUACGAAGGAAACGCACGUAGGAAUGAACGGGGACGUGAUUUUGGACAGGAGUUCGACUCUCCUCACCUCCACUU
rfam:Fibrobacter sp. TWOS genome assembly, contig: Ga0136287_122